AAAAAUGGAAGAAGGUUCAAGGUUUCAUUUUGAAUAGCAACAAGACACAAUGGGUCUGUGAUGGAGCAACAGUCUACAAAUAAUAGGCUACAGUUUCCAAAAUGGUUUUGUGAUGGAAAAAUGGGGAAACAAAACCAAUUAGCAACACCACCUUAAUGUUCUCUACUUGGCCCGAAACAAAAAGAAGGCUAACAAGAGGAACCACCGCAUUGGAAAUAGACCUUACAGUCUUGUAGCAAAAUAUCCCACAACUGCAAAGCAAACAAUGUGAACCUUCAGGUCAAGACUGAACAGGGUAAUUCCACAGUAACACUUCGACACAGAUUUCCAAGUUAUGUUUUUUUUCUUUUUUUUGUACUUUUUAAAAACCGUUUUUUUCCUUCACAAUUUUGUGAUAUCCACCUGGUGGUAGUGAGUCUAAUUAUGGAUAUGAAAGUAAUUUUCCUCGUGUUUCACAAGUUCGGACACCACAGCACAGUAGGGUAGAGUAACGUUCAGUACAGUGCAGUAGAGCACAGUAUAAUAUAUCUUUGUAUUGUACUGCUCUACUAACUGUACGAUUCAAACCUGGGAAACAUACGUCUAUAAUAGGGUUUAGAUUUGGUCCAGUCCGGUCCGUCUGUGGGUGAGGAUGCUGGAUACAGCACGACAGGGUAGGUGUCAGUAAGAGCUGGGAGAGGUGACAUUAACUGAAGAGUGGGAGGGAGGGGUUGUCCACUCUUGGUUUGACCAUCAGACAACAGAAAGACAAAUAAAAGAGCUAUGAGCUGAACAUAACAGUCAGUGGAAGAGAGGACAGUAACAGGAGACACUAUGAGCUGAACAUAAGUCAGUGGAAGAGAGGACAGUAACAGGAGACACUAUGAGCUGAACAUAACAGUUAGUGGAAGGGAGGACAGUAACAGGAGACACUAUGAGCUGAACAUAACAGUCAGUGGAAGGGAGGACAGUAACAGGAGACACUAUGAGCUGAACAUAACAGUCAGUGGAAGAGAGGACAGUAACAGGAGACACUAUGAACUGAACAUAACAGUCAGUAGAAGGGAGGACAGUAACAGGAGACACUAUGAGCUGAACAUAACAGUCAGUGGAAGGGAGGACAGUAUUAGGAGACGACACUAUGGUUUGUAACUUAAUUCAGUUGCAUUAAAAUUCAGUUGCAUUUUUUUCCNNNNNNNNNNCAGUAACAGGAGACACUAUGAGCUGAACAUAACAGAAUGUCAGUGGAAGAGAGGACAGUAACAGGAGACACUAUGAGCUGAACAUAACAGUCAGUGGAAGGGAGGACAGUAACAGGAGACACUAUGAGCUGAACAUAACAGUCAGUGGAAGAGAGGACAGUAACAGGAGACACUAUGAGCUGAACAUGACAGUCAGUAGAAGGGAGGACAGUAACAGGAGACACUAUGAGCUGAACAUAACAGUCAGUGGAAGGGAGGACAGUAUUAGGAGACGACACUAUGGUUUGUAACUUAAUUCAGUUGCAUUAAAAUUCAGUUGCAUUUUUUUCCUUCUAAAGUUUGAACCACUUAAUAAUUAAUAUACAAAAUGCAUAUCAGUAUAAAAAAAAAUACCCCUAGAACUAAUUUGGUAGGUCCAUUACUUACUGUGAACUUUCAUAAUGCAACCCUCCUUACGAGGCAGAGAAAUGUGAAACUAUCUUAAAGAUGUGUCGGUUUUUGAAAACAAGGAACACAAGGGAAUAUUUCUUUAAAAACUUACAGAAGGUAAACAAUUUCUCCAAAAACUAAAUAUAAGUGUUGAUGUUAGUUGGCAGGGGCCUUUACGUCAAAAUGUUAGUUCAUCCAUUUCUGAAGCCUGUUAAGAAUUUCUGGUAGACUUUUUUCCAAGACCCCCUUAUGCAUCUGUUCAUGUAGGUUGAAAAAU
rnacentral:lncRNA from 13 species